rnacentral:rRNA from 1 species
UACGGAGGAUGCGAGCGUUAUCCGGAUUUAUUGGGUUUAAAGGGUGCGUAGGCGGGAUGCCAAGUCAGCGGUAAAAAUGCGGUGCUCAACGCCGUCGAGCCGUUGAAACUGGCGUUCUUGAGUGGGCGAGAAGAAGGCGGAAUGCGUGGUGUAGCGGUGAAAUGCAUAGAUAUCACGCAGAACCCCGAUUGCGAAGGCAGCCUUCCGGCGCCCUACUGACGCUGAGGCACGAAAGUGCGGGGAUCGAACAGG